rnacentral:rRNA from 1 species
GACGAAGGGUGCGAGCGUUGUUCGGAAUUACUGGGCUUAAAGGGCGCGUAGGCGGCCCGCCGCGUCCGGGGUGAAAUCCUCCCGCUCAACGGGAGAACGGCCUCGGAUACGGGCGGGCUGGAGGCGGGUAGGGGCAGGCGGAACUGUGGGUGGAGCGGUGAAAUGCGUUGAUAUCCGCAGGAACUCCGGUGGCGAAGGCGGCCUGCUGGACCCGAUCUGACGCUGAGGCGCGAAAGCCAGGGGAGCGAACGGG